rnacentral:rRNA from 1 species
GUCGUAACAAGGUUUCCGUAGGUGAACCUGCGGAAGGAUCAUUAAAA